GAUGAACGCUGGCGGCGUGCCUAAUACAUGCAAGUCGAGCGAACAGACGAGGAGCUUGCUCCUCUGAUGUUAGCGGCGGACGGGUGAGUAACACGUGGAUAACCUACCUAUAAGACUGGGAUAACUUCGGGAAACCGGAGCUAAUACCGGAUAACAUGUUGAACCGCAUGGUUCAACAGUGAAAGACGGUCUUGCUGUCACUUAUAGAUGGAUCCGCGCCGCAUUAGCUAGUUGGUAAGGUAACGGCUUACCAAGGCAACGAUGCGUAGCCGACCUGAGAGGGUGAUCGGCCACACUGGAACUGAGACACGGUCCAGACUCCUACGGGAGGCAGCAGUAGGGAAUCUUCCGCAAUGGGCGAAAGCCUGACGGAGCAACGCCGCGUGAGUGAAGAAGGUCUUCGGAUCGUAAAACUCUGUUAUUAGGGAAGAACAAAUGUGUAAGUAACUAUGCACGUCUUGACGGUACCUAAUCAGAAGGCCACGGCUAACUACGUG
rnacentral:rRNA from 1 species